UGCAAGAAAUUAACACCACAGUGAGUAAAAUUAAAGUUACACUAUAAAGGAAUAACUUUUGUAAAAGGUAUCAGAAAAUUAACCAAAAAUUCUAAGACACCUAGACCCCCACAUCUGCAGUACCUAACAUUACACAAUAAGCAAAAGCUUGAUAUAGUUAUAGACUAAAGAGUUGGUUAAUUAUGUGCCAGCCGCCGCGGUUAUACAUAAGACUCAAACUAAGAAGUUUAUAUCGGUCUAAAAGUGAUUAGGGAUAAAACUACUUUAGGGUGAAAAACAACUUCAGUACUAAUAAGCUUUUACAGUAAACUAACAACUAAACAAAACUUACCUUAAAUCCCCCGAAGCACUAAAGCUCAAGAAUAAACUGGGAUUAGAUACCCCACUAUAUGAGCCGUAAAAAACCAAAAACACCAGAGAACUACGAACUAAAGUUUAAAACUCAAAGGACUUGGCGG
rnacentral:rRNA from 1 species